rnacentral:rRNA from 1 species
UAUCUCUGUAGAGUCUGCAUAUCAAUAAGCGGAGGAAAAGAAACUAACAAGGACUUCCCCUAGUAACGGCGAGUGAAGCGGGAAGAGCUCAAAUUUGAAAUCUUCAAGGUUUUACCUUGACGAAUUGUAGUUUAAAGAAGUGUUUUCGGUUAGAGGAGUAGUAAAAGUUCUUUGGAAUAGGACAUCAUAGAGGGUGAGAAUCCCGUAUUUGGAUCUAUUCUUUCUAGCUUUGUGAUACACUUUCAACGAGUCGGAUUGUUUGGGAAUGCAGUCCAAAAUGGGUGGUAAAUUUCAUCUAAAGCUAAAUAUUGGCGAGAGACCGAUAGCGAACAAGUACCGUGAGGGAAAGAUGAAAAGAGCUUUGAAAAGAGAGUUAAACAGUACGUGAAAUUGUCAAAAGGGAAGCGUUUGACACCAGUGUUGUUUUUCCGAAAAUCAAUUACGAAUGUUUUAUUUUUGAGGAGUUAUGACUUCAUCGGCUUGCUCCUUUCUUUAUGAAACUUUCUUAAUGCACUUUUCGGUUAACAAGUCAACAUCAAUUUCUUUUGUUGUAAAAGGGUAUGAGGAAGGUGGCUUUCUUUUCGGAGAAAGUGUUUAUAGCCUUGUGCCUCUGCAAUCGAGAGAUUGAGGUCUGCAGCGUAGAUCCUUCGGGGUUAGAUACGUUUGUGCUAAGUUAUAGCUUUUCAUAGACAACUUGUUGACUAUGUUUAGUCUUGUAGCUUACUCGCUGACGCUAUUUUACCUACGCUUAGGAUGUUGACGCAUGAGAUAUACGC